UUCCUUGUUCAUUUGGAGAGUGGCAUUGCCUUUUAGAUAGGAUCUAGGAGUGAUUUUACUGUGUGGGAGAAUGGAAGGGUCCUGUGGACCUGGCUUUGUCAUCAGUGUUGCCAUAGCAACAGCAGCUCUGUACCUCAUCUUCUGAGCCCACCUUUGAAGAGGAGACACAGCACUCACCUUAACUGCACUGGUAGCAGCUCAUUUUCUGUUUAUCAUUCUCAUCACUAAUUGGAAGCUGCUUUGGGAUUUAAGCACCAGGCAUUGCACAUCUGGAUGGAUGAAGGAAAAUAUAAAAAUGGAGUGGGCUGCCCAGGGUCCUCCAGAGAGUGGAAAGUAUUCAUGCCCUCUCAGAAGCCUGGAGUCCAAGAAAACUUAGUGGUAGCGUCAGUCUAGAGCUUAUUUUCAGGAAGUUCAGUUACUUCGUGCAGCUGGGUGAUCAUGAGAAAGCUCAGGUUGCUUUCACCGUGGAUGUUUGAAGCUUCAGUGAGGAGCAGAGAAAGGGCAGGCCCUCAUCACGACGGCCGGACUCUGGGGCUACAGUCAGUACAGGGUGGGGGUGCCUCCCUCCAAGACACAAGAUGUCUACACCCUCCUCGGGGAGUAUGUCGAGCUGUGGGGGAAAGUCAAGGGGGAGGUAACCCUUCCUACAGUGCCUUGCCUUGCUAUCUGGGAGGACCUCAGUGAUACUGCCCUUUGGAGGUUUCUCUGUACCUCUAGCAUCGUGGCCAUCUGAAUGGGAUGAGCAGCCCUGGGCACUCCCUGUCUUUGUCUAGUCAGUAUUUUUUCCUUUGGUGUGUUUUGGAGCCAUGUCAUACCCAGUAAAUCAGUAUCAUCUUUGUACUUGAGAAGCCCAAAGCCAGCACCAAAUCCUUGGGGUCACAAAAGCUUGACAGAUAGAACCUGCCGAGUAGGAGGGGAUUGGCUUCAAGCUCACAUCUGUGUUCUUGUUGAGAGGAGCAGCCACCUUCUCCAAGGACAGUGUAUGUCCUAGAAGAGAAACCUUCUAGGCCAGCAGUUGAUAGUUUCCCUUAAAUGUGAGCCUUGCACUUCCACCAAGUCUAAUGGAUUGCUUGUGUUUGAGGCCACAGCAGCUCCUUUGAUAAGUACCAUAUCCUCUGUACUACACACAGCUAAAUUAAUAUUGUUUCAUUUAACCAAACCCCCCCCCCAAAAAAAAGGUUGGCUAUCUCUCUUAAUAUUGCAGGAGGACCUACCUAUGCAGGAGAAAUUUUGCCAUUUCCUUAAGCUAGUGGUAUAGAGGCUGGUGCUGGGAGGAAGUCCCACCUCUGAGGAUGGGCAGCUCUGUCCAGUGGCAUCAUUGAUGUCCCUUGUUUUCUCAGUUCUGAGAAGCACAGUACAGUGGUACUGCUUUCAGCACUGAGGCUUAUUCCUAGAAUAGGGGAAAGCCCAAACCUGACGUAAGGUUACAAGUUCUAGGGGUCUGGCAGUAAACCCUGCAGAGAGUUUUGGUUCAGUUUGGUCAAUGCAGCUUUGGUUUUCGUCAGGACUGGCUGGCCUUUCAAGGUCCUGUAUCCUUACGCUUACCAUCUCAGCAGGCCUGAGAGGCAGGGUUUAAGGUGUUCAGUACGAGCAUUGCUUCUGCUCUGGAGCUGAGGGGUGUGGGCAUGUUGCUGACUGUGGGGUGACAGUGCAUGCUGAGGCAGGCAGGAAUCCUAGGGAGCCGUGCUCAAGUAGAGCAUGGCGGCGGUUCUCUAGUAUAUUCCUUCGGGAAGUCUAGAUUUGCUAUUACUCUAGCUGGGAAUCUAAGUUCUGUGCCUUAGAGACAAUUUGCACUUUCCAGAAUUGUGCCUAGGACAACCAUAAGAUGUUCUCCCCUACCAAACAGCUAUGCAAACAAAAACCAGUUCAAAAGUCACAACCAUGCACUGGGUUGAGUAACAGUCAAGACAGCAGAAAUGUCUUCAAACGGUUUUCUAUAGCUAAAUCUUCGUAAAUUGUCCUGUUUAUCCUCUAUGCAGUGCUCUGUGUUUGAAGCUUGCCGGUAGUGUUGCUUUGAGUUACAGUAUAGCCUGCGUUUAUCCUCUGUGCCAACACUUGGCUGAAGAGCCAGCUUAUUGUUAGCCUGAAGCUGGGAAGGAUGAGGAUGGAGUGGUGUGGCAUUUCUGUUUUAAAUAAACGUUUAAACUCUC
rnacentral:lncRNA from 1 species